AACGAACGCUGGCGGCAGGCUUAACACAUGCAAGUCGAACGCCCCGCAAGGGGAGUGGCAGACGGGUGAGUAACGCGUGGGAAUCUACCGUACCCUACGGAAUAACGCAUGGAAACGUGUGCUAAUACCGUAUACGCCCUUAGGGGGAAAGAUUUAUCGGGGUAUGAUGAGCCCGCGUUGGAUUAGCUAGUUGGUGGGGUAAAGGCCUACCAAGGCGACGAUCCAUAGCUGGUCUGAGAGGAUGAUCAGCCACAUUGGGACUGAGACACGGCCCAAACUCCUACGGGAGGCAGCAGUGGGGAAUGUUGGACAAUGGGCGCAAGCCUGAUCCAGCCAUGCCGCGUGAGUGAUGAAGGUCUUAGGAUUGUAAAGCUCUUUCGCCGAUGAAGAUAAUGACGGUAGUCGGAGAAGAAGCCCCGGCUAACUUCGUGCCAGCCGCCGCGGUAACAC
rnacentral:rRNA from 1 species